rnacentral:rRNA from 1 species
UACGGAGGAUGCGAGCGUUAUCCGGAUUUAUUGGGUUUAAAGGGUGCGUAGGCGGCCUGCCAAGUCAGCGGUAAAAUUGCGGGGCUCAGCCCCGUACAGCCGUUGAAACUGCCGGGCUCGAGUGGGCGAGAAGUAUGCGGAAUGCGUGGUGUAGCGGUGAAAUGCAUAGAUAUCACGCAGAACCCCGAUUGCGAAGGCAGCAUACCGGCGCCCGACUGACACUGAGGCGCGAAAGCGUGGGGAGCAAACAGG